AAAAGGCCAGACAUUCGCCUGGCCUCUUCGAACCUCUUGCCGCGAUGCCAGUACAUCCGUGGUCAUCAGCGGCGAAAAAGCAUCAGGCAGCGCGCAGCUGGCCUGCGGACAUCUUGCCCGACUUAUUGUCGCGCUCGAGCUCAAAGCCGAGCUUCUGACCUUCGACAAUCGAAUUCAUGCCGGCGCGUUCAACAGCAGAGAUGUGAACGAACACAUCGGCGCUGCCGUCGUCAGGCGCGAUGAAACCGAAGCCCUUGGUGGAAUUGAACCAUUUAACUUUAGAUGAACGCGGCGUGCGUACCGAAAGUCGGCAAACGAGCUGAGUAUACCGCUACGCUUCGAC
rnacentral:sRNA from 1 species